GAACGCUGGCGGCGUGCCUAACACAUGCAAGUCGAGCGAGAAAGCCCGCAAGGGUGAGUAAAGCGGCGCACGGGUGCGUAACACGUGGGUAAUCUGCCCUGAAGUCCGGAAUAACCCGCCGAAAGGCGUGCUAAUGCCGGAUAAGACCACGGGAGCUUCGGCUCCUGCGGGAAAAGGUGGCCUCUGUACACAAGCUAUCACUUCAGGAUGAGCCCGCGGCCCAUCAGCUCGUUGGCGGGGUAAUGGCCCACCAAGGCUACGACGGGUAGCUGGUCUGAGAGGACGAUCAGCCACACUGGAACUGAGACACGGUCCAGACUCCUACGGGAGGCAGCAGUGGGGAAUCUUGCGCAAUGGGCGAAAGCCUGACGCAGCAACGCCGCGUGUGUGAUGAAGGUCUUCGGAUCGUAAAGCACUGUCGCGAGGGACGAAUAAGGGGGGGGCUAACAUCCCGUUCCGAUGACGGUACCUCGAGAGGAAGCACCGGCUAACUCUGUGCCAGCAGCCGCGGUAAUACAGAGGGUGCAAGCGUUGUUCGGAAUUAUUGGGCGUAAAGCGCGUGUAGGCGGCUUUGUAAGUUGGGUGUGAAAGCCCUCGGCUUAACCGAGGAAGUGCGCCCAAAACUGCAUGGCUUGAGUACCGGAGAGGGUGGCGGAAUUCCCGGUGUAGAGGUGAAAUUCGUAGAUAUCGGGAGGAACACCAGCGGCGAAGGCGGCCACCUGGACGGAUACUGACGCUGAGACGCGAAAGCGUGGGGAGCAAACAGGAUUAGAUACCCUGGUAGUCCACGCUGUAAACGAUGAGCGCUAGGUGUUGUGGGUGUUGACCCCUGCAGUGCCGCAGCUAACGCAUUAAGCGCUCCGCCUGGG
rnacentral:rRNA from 1 species